GGAGCGCGCGUAAUCCUGUCAAGGUUGGAAGACGAUGCAAGUGUUUCCCAUGGCAGGACGGUGACUCUCUUCAAACACGAACACUGAUCUGAAUUACAAAAUGUCCUAAAAGAAAGAACAUCCUGACCAAAUGGAGAAGUCAGCAUGAAGCAGGAAAUGGAGGCAAGGUGCAAAAACCCGUCUUGGACGCCAGGACUGGUCGGGGAAGACAUGUCCAGGCUCACAGACCACCAUCCACUUGGCCAGCCCAUGGGAGUGGGGGCACCUGAUGCCCUCAAAGCCUGAUG
rnacentral:lncRNA from 1 species